rnacentral:rRNA from 1 species
AAUGAACGCUGGCGGCAUGCCUAAUACAUGCAAGUCGAACGAGCCCUUCGGGUCUAGUCUCCCACGGGUGCGUCACGCGUGGGAACCUUACCUUGGGUUCGGAAUAACUCUCCGACAGGGGUACCAUUACCGGAUAAUGUCUACGGCCCAAAGAUUUAUCGCCUUUGGUUGGGCCCGCGUUGAAUUAGCUAUUUGUUACGGUAAAAGCCUACCAAGGCGACAAUCCAUAGCUGGUUUCAGUGAAUGAUCAGCCACACUGAGACUGAGACACAGCCCAGACUCCUACGGAAAGCGGCAGUGGGUAAUGUUGCACAAUGGGCGGAAGCCUGAUCCACCAAGGCCGCGUGAGUGAUGAAGGCCUUAGGGUUGUAAAGCGCUAUUACCCAGGAUGAUAAUGACAGUACCGAGUGAAUAAGCUCCGGCUAACUCCGUG